rnacentral:lncRNA from 1 species
GAAAUCCGAAUUGCUUCUGGUUACCAUAGUGAUAUGAUUAUAUUCCAAAAACAGUGAAGGCAAUCGUAAGAGGAACUACACUUCACAAUUAGCAAAAGAUACAAAACAGAACCGCCUCCAAACAGAUCUAUAUCAGAUACCAAUAGAUUGUAUGCAGAUUACUGAUAAGAACACAAUCACAAGGUUCACCGACCAUGUCUUUAAACGAUAAAUAAGCAACAAAACACUCGUCUUAAUGCAUUAGAAGAUCCAACAUACUAAGAGAACAUUUCAACUUUUGUGCUUCUGCCCAACCAAAAUACCAGCAUCCACCACAGCCCAAUCACAUGAACAGGUUCGGCCUCGUCGCCUUGUAGGUGGUCUUCAGCUUCCUGGUUGGUGGCCUGACCUUUUGGUACACAAGGGGGAACUUGAUCUUGGAGUUGUGGAACUGCUUGGUGUUGUCUCUCUUGCAUAGCUUGAAGUUGACAGUCGCGGUCUUGAUGAUCUGAAUGCAGGGGGAUCUCACACGGUGGCGAGAGGCCAUUUCAGUGUACAUCUGCUCCACGGCACCAUUCAGUGUGGUGUCACGGUACUCCUUGUACAUGUUGUGGUAGCCGGUUCUGCUCUGGUAACGCAGCCAAAUGCCAUAGUUCUUGAUCGUGGUUGGGUUCUUCUCAAAGAUCUGACAAGAAAAAGAGUAAUUCAGUGCAAAAAUAACAAUCACAUGGCAUAAUUGAGUAAAAAAGAAUCAGUGGAAAAAUGAGGUUCCAAUUGGUUCCCAAACCAAGAAACUAUGGAUUAACACCAGUCGACCACAACAUACACGUUACACGAUUAGAAAAAGGAAAAUCACAAAUCAGAAAGUAUACGUGCCCGCAUAAUCAAGAAAUCUAGAGACAACUCAUAUGGGUCCCUUCAGAUGAAACAGGAUGUGGCAACAAGAACUCACAGAACUUUUGUGGUCCAAGUCCUUGUAGUGAAUACAAAUUAGAUUAUGCAAAACAGAGCCUUCGGACAUCAGAAUGAAGUAUCAGAAGUAAUUUACACAUAGAUAAUGUAAAUACAACUACAGAUACAUGUUUUCGCAAGAAAAUCACAUACAUCAUGAUCACAACAAGAUGGAAGGGGCAUCACUGCAUAUGCAAACACAACUAGAAUAAUUUUAUGUUGCAUUCCGACUAAUUAACGCCACAGAGAGUACAGAUAAAACUACCGAUGCAGUUGUAAGAAUGGAUCGAUAAAAGGAGCUAAUUAAGCCGCUCUCGGUUGGUGAUUGUAAUGUACAGGAAAGAACCAAAAGGUGGAACAUAAUCCAAGCUCAGGGCAAAACAUAAGAGGAGAAAGGCCCAAU